rnacentral:rRNA from 1 species
AUGAGAACGCAUUGUUCAAACCCCCCCGUCCGGCGCCUUAUAUGGGGAGGAGGAGGAGGAGCGGCGGGGAUGGCGGCUGCGGCCGGGGCGGCGACGAGCGGCGGCCCGGUAAGUCCGCCAAGGUCUCCAAGGUUCGAGAUCUCGCCCCCUUCCUCUCGUUCCUUAGCUCUAUUGCAUUUCAUCGGUGAUUCUGAAGCGCUCGUGUGCUUGUGCGUAGGCGCAGUUGAAGGAGAGGCUGGCCAAGGUGUACGAGGUCAAGGCGCAGUUGAAGGAGAGAACGAUGACACAUCCAAGGUUGAGUAUAGGGUGUGGAACCCCUUCAGAUCAAAGCUGUCCGCUGCAGUGCUCGGUGGUGUGGACAACAUCUGGAUUGAUCCUGGAACACGUGUGCUGUACCUCGGAGCUGCCUUUGGAACAAUCGUGCCUCAUGUGUCUGACAUUGUUGGAACGUUGUCUUCACGAAGUCUUGUCACUUUGCAAACUGGGUUGGUGUAUGUCGUUGAGUUAUCUCACCGGAGUGGUAGGGAUCUUGUCAACAUGGCCAAGAAGAGGACCAGUGUCAUCACCAUCACUGAGGAUCUCAUUGGUUGCAUGGUCUUCAGUUUUGUUGUGCUGAUUCAGUGUUGUAGGAUGUAUAUCUUCUGUAGUUUCUCAUCGUUGAUGGUGGCGAUUGUCCGUACGAUGUAG